AUGGCAGUUUUCCUGGCUGGGCUGCUUGCCUGGACAUGCUACCUUCUUGUGAAAUACACCAGCAUUACAGCCAGGUGCCAAAAACUGACCAAGGAGCUCUCUAAGCCAAAAAGCAAAGGAAAGAAGUACAUAGCUGGAAACAAAAAUACCAAUGAUGAUAUGGUAACAAGAAACAGGGAUAAACAAGUUGAAGUGGUAACUUCACAGGGAAUGUAUAUGAAUAUAACAGCAAGUCGGGAGCUAGGAAAUGGAAGAAGUUGCCUAGACCACCAAAGAAUGUGGUGGCCAACAUACAAACUGUCUCAGAGGAAAUCCCUACAGAUGAGCCUACUCAAGGAUGACAUAACAUAUUUGCAUCCCAUUUUAUACAUUACAAAGAACCUACAGAAUCUCCCUCAAUGCCUUUAACUACUAUCUUUUGCUUAGUUGAAUUACAUGUAUUUUCAACUCUGGUCUCUAAAAUCAAAAUGCAAAUUUCAGACAGUUGCACUGUGGGUCCCUAAGGCCUUCCAGCAUGUAAAUAGUCUGAAGUAAAUGUGCUGGGGACAGGCCUCAAGAACUGAGUUUUAAUCCGGCAGCAAAAUUCUCUCGCCACUUAAUCAGUUCUUUUACUUUCUGCAGGACUUAACCAGGCUUAGGUGGGAAUGGACUCAGAAUGAUUUCUUUUGGUUACUGGUAAUCAUUCAAAAUGAAUGAUUGUUUUAAAGCUCAUUUGAUCUGGCCUUUCAAUUUUCUUUGUAUAGUUCUCUAUGCAAAAUGGCCCUGCCAACUCUUUACUUAUUAAUAGCUUGUAAACUCGAUGUUGGAAUCAAGGCUGUCAUUGGCGUCAGUGAAGUCCGC
rnacentral:lncRNA from 1 species